rnacentral:ncRNA from 1 species
GUGUCAUAUGAAGGGAAAGAAGUUAUCACUCCCUUGACACAGACAGAAGAAGCCCUGGGGUUCAAUAACGUGCAUUGCCACCUGAUUAGUGGCAUCUAACCAUUGCU